AGAGUUUGAUCCUGGCUCAGGAUUAACGCUGGCGGCGUGCCUAACACAUGCAAGUCGAACGAGGUAGCAAUACCUAGUGGCAGACGGGUGAGUAACGCGUGGUCAACCUUCCCUUGAGCGGGGGAUAACUAGCCGAAAGGCUAGCUAAUACCGCAUAACAUCAAAGCCGGCAUCGGCAAUGAUUGAAAGCAGUAAUGCAC
rnacentral:rRNA from 1 species